CUCUCUGCUUGUAAGACACAGAAUCAUAGAAUUAUUUAGGUUGGAAAAGACCUUUAAGAUCAUUGAGUCCAACUUUAAACCUAACACUGUUAAAUCUACCGCUAAACCAUGUCCUUAAG